CGGAUCAGCCCGCUCCCGGUAAAACGGGACGGCCCGCCAGAGGACCCCUAAACUCUGUUUCUAUAUGUAACUUCUGAGUAAAACCAUAAAUAAAUCAAAACUUUCAACAACGGAUCUCUUGGUUCUGGCAUCGAUGAAGAACGCAGCAAAAUGCGAUAAGUAAUGUGAAUUGCAGAAUUCAGUGAAUCAUCGAAUCUUUGAACGCACAUUGCGCCCGCCAGUAUUCUGGCGGGCAUGCCUGUUCGAGCGUCAUUUCAACCCUCAAGCACAGCUUGGUGUUGGGACUCGCGUUAAUUCGCGUUCCUCAAAUUGAUUGGCGGUCACGUCGAGCUUCCAUAGCGUAGUAGUAAAACCCUCGUUACUGGUAAUCGUCGCGGCCACGCCGUUAAACCCCAACUUCUGAAUGUUGACCUCGGAUCAGGUAGGAAUACCCGCUGAACUUAAGCAUAU
rnacentral:rRNA from 1 species